UGUAAGUUGAGCACAACCUGUGAGUGGCUUUCCCACUGACUAGCAGAUAUCUGAAAGUUCACAACAGAAGGCAGCUCACCUGCAAGCUGAUGAGCUGCCCUGCUAAGGAACAGCUGACAUCCAAAUUACUGCCCUCAGGGGCAGUAUGUGGAGCUGCUGCUGCUGCUGGUCAUGGUCUCUCCUCUACAAAAGUGUGGAGCCAGGGAGAACUGGGACAUGCCUCCUCUUCCCCCCACAAACCUGGAGGUCAUUGAAGAUGUUACCCUGUGGAACUGUGAGUAAAUAAGGCAGUGGAAUGCUGCCUCCUCUCCUACUUCCACAGGCAAAAGUGGGACCACAUCAUGACAGACCAUCAAGCUGUUUUGGUUGGAAAAGAACUCUAAGAUCAUUGAGCCCAACCAUCACCCUGAGACCAUUGUGGCCAUGAUGCUGAGGCACAGCUGCAGGGCAGAUUUUCCCCUUCACCAAGUCAUUUCCACUGUCUUCUGUCUACAUCCAGUAGGAAGCCUGCUGCAAAAACUUCUUUAAAUGCUAAAGGCUGCAGCUGAGAUGAGAUUCCUGCUUUGAGAAGCACACACUGGGACCAAUGGACUGACACUGCAACACAA